AAUAAAUCUUGCAUGACCGAAUCGAAAUUGUGUGGCUUGCGAAACAAAUUUGAGAAGUGAAAAUACACAUGUACAGCAUUUUUGGCAUAGUGCAAAGAACGACUAGGUUGAACAAAAACUCAAGUGUCACUUAUAGCCUCGCCAUUGUGGGAACCCAUUAGCCGCUGGCAAUGUUCACACAAGUGGAUGACCAAAGGGAAGCAUGAAAAUUGCUGGAAAGACAAUUGGAAGAAAAGCUAGGGCUAACUACACACUGAAGAUUUUAUACACUUGUCGAUAUAGGGCUUAUUUAAUAGUUGUGCAAAAUAGAUUAGUUCGGUUUAGAUAAAGUAAAAUCAAAAGCAACAAAUUACAAUUCAUGCAAUAGACUGACUGACCACUGAUCUAGACUCUAGAAGAUAUUUCUCUGCAUUGCACAUAUUCAAUCAAAAUUGAAAUGCCCUCAACUUGAGCAUUCAACACGCCUGUGCAAUCGUUCAUCGGCGAGUGCAAUUUAUCAUGCCAAGCGUAUGAUUUACUGUGCGUAUGACGUAUACGCACUGAUGUCCGUCAGUUGAAGUGGAAAUGCGGCAAUGCAAGUUA